CUGGUCUUGACAUCCACGGAAGUUUUCAGAGAUGAGAAUGUGCCUUCGGGAACCGUGAGACAGGUGCUGCAUGGCUGUCGUCAGUUCGUGUCGUGAGAUGUUGGGUUAAGUCCCGCAACGAGCGCAACCCUUGAUUUUAGUUGCCAGCACUUUGGGUGGGCACUCUAGAAUGACUGCCGGUGACAAACCGGAGGAAGGCGGGGAUGACGUCAAAUCAUCAUGCCCCUUAUGACUUGGGCUACACACGUACUACAAUGGCUGGUACAACGGGAAGCGAAGCCGCGAGGUGGAGCCAAUCCUAUAAAAGCCAGUCUCAGUUCGGAUUGCAGGCUGCAACUCGCCUGCAUGAAGUCGGAAUUGCUAGUAAUCGCGGAUCAGCAUGCCGCGGUGAAUACGUUCCC
rnacentral:rRNA from 1 species